rnacentral:misc_RNA from 1 species
GAUGAAGAACGUAGCGAAAUGCGAUAAGUAAUGCGAAUUGCAGAAUUUCCGUGAGUCAUCGAAUCUUUGAACGCACAUUGCGCCCUUUGGUAUUCCAAAGGGCAUGCCUGUUCGAGCGUCAUUUGUACCCUCAAGCUUUGCUUGGUGUUGGGCGUCUUGUCUCCAGUCCGCUGGAGACUCGCCUUAAAGUCAUUGGCAGCCGGCCUACUGGUUUCGGAGCGCAGCACAAGUCGCACUCUUUUCCAGCCAAGGUCAGUGUCCAACAAGCCUUUUUUCAACUUUUGACCUCGGAUCAGGUAGGGAUACCCGCUGAACUUAAGCAUAUCAAUAAGCGGAGGA